rnacentral:rRNA from 1 species
CCCUUAGAUGUUCUGGGCUGCACGCGCGCUACACUGAAGCUAUCAACACGUUUUCCCUCCCUGAGAAGGGCGGGUAACCUUUUGAAUCAGCUUCGUGGUAGGGAUCGGGGCUUGCAAUUGUUCCCCGUGAACCAGGAAUUCCUAGUAGACGCGAGUCAUAAGCUCGCAUCGAUUAAGUCCCUGCCCUUUGUACACACCGCCCGUCGCUACUGCCGAUUGAACGUUUUAGUGAGGCAUUUGGACCGACGCAUCUCAGUUUAACCGCUGGUUUGUGUUGGAAAGACUUCCAAACUUGAGCGUUUAGAGGAAGUAAAAGUCGUAACA